GAUGAACGCUAGCGAUAGGCCUAACACAUGCAAGUCGAGGGGCAUCACGGAGUAGCAAUACUUUGGUGGCGACCGGCGCACGGGUGAGUAACGCGUAUGCAAUCUACCUACAACAGGGGGAUAACCCGGAGAAAUCCGGACUAAUACCGCAUAACACAGGGGUCCCGCAUGGGAAUAUUUGUUAAAGAUUUAUCGGUUGUAGAUGAGAAUGCGUUCCAUUAGGUAGUUGGUGAGGUAACGGCCCACCGAGCCUGCGAUGGAUAGGGGAACUGAGAGGUUUGACACCCACAAUGGAACUGAGAAACGGACCAGACUCCUACGGGAGGAAGCAGUGAGGAAUAUUGGUCAAUGGGCGAGAGCCUGAACCAGCCAAAUCGCGUGAAGGAAGACUGCCUUAUGGGUUGUAAACUUCUUUUGUACAGGAAUAAAAAGAGGGACGUGUCCUUCAUUGCAUGUACUGUACGAAUAAGCAUCGGCUAACUCCGUGCCAGCAGCCGCCGCAG
rnacentral:rRNA from 1 species